rnacentral:rRNA from 1 species
GACGAACGCUGGCGGCGUGCUUAACACAUGCAAGUCGAACGGAAAGGCCCUGCUUUUGUGGGGUGCUCGAGUGGCGAACGGGUGAGUAAAACGUGAGUAACCUGCCCUUGACUUUGGGAUAACUUCAGGAAACUGGGGCUAAUACCGGAUAGGAGCUCCUGCUGCAUGGCGGGGGUUGGAAAGUUUCGGCGGUUGGGGAUGGACUCGCGGCUUAUCAGCUUGUUGAUGGGGUAGUGGCUUACCAAGGCUUUGACGGGUAGCCAGCGUGAGAGGGUGACCGGCCACAUUGGGACUGAGUUCCGGCCCAGACUCCUACGCGCGGCAUCAGUGGGGAAUACUGCACCAUGGGCGGACGCCUGCUGCAGCAACGUCUCGUACGGGAUGACCGCCUUCGGGUUGUAAACCGCUUUCGCCUGUGACGAAGCGCGAGUUACGGUAAUAAGUUAAGACGCCCCGGCUAUAUUCGUG